UACGUAGGGUGCAAGCGUUGUCCGGAAUUAUUGGGCGUAAAGAGCUCGUAGGCGGUUUGUCGCGUCUGCUGUGAAAACCCGAGGCUCAACCUCGGACCUGCAGUGGGUACGGGCAGACUAGAGUGCGGUAGGGGAGAUUGGAAUUCCUGGUGUAGCGGUGGAAUGCGCAGAUAUCAGGAGGAACACCAAUGGCGAAGGCAGAUCUCUGGGCCGUAACUGACGCUGAGGAGCGAAAGCAUGGGGGGCGAACAGG
rnacentral:rRNA from 1 species